rnacentral:rRNA from 1 species
CAGGACGAACGCUGGCGGCGUGCUUAACACAUGCAAGUCGAACGAUGACGAUGGUGCUUGCACCGUCUGAUUAGUGGCGAACGGGUGAGUAACACGUGAGUAACCUGCCCUCCUCUUCGGGAUAACCGCCGGAAACGGUGGCUAAUACCGGAUAUGAAUGUCUGCCGCAUGGUGGGUGUUGGAAAGAUUUAUCGGUGGGGGAUGGACUCGCGGCCUAUCAGUUUGUUGGUGAGGUAAUGGCUCACCAAGGCGAUGACGGGUAGCCGGCCUGAGAGGGCGACCGGCCACACUGGGACUGAGACACGGCCCAGACUCCUACGGGAGGCAGCAGUGGGGAAUAUUGCACAAUGGGCGAAAGCCUGAUGCAGCGACGCCGCGUGGGGGAUGACGGCCUUCGGGUUGUAAACCUCUUUCAGCAGGGAAGAAGCGAGAGUGACGGUACCUGCAGAAGAAGCGCCGGCUAACUACGUGCCAGCCGCCGC